AGAGAAAUCAUGUCUGCGUUGAUGUUCAGUUCAGACUUGCAAAUUAAAGAGCAUUUUCUUCACUUUGGUUUGGGUGUCUAAUAUUAGGCUAUAUGAUGGUCUUGUAAUAAUAAUUAAUAAACGCCUAUUUUCAUUUUUAGACGAUGCUUGUAUAUGCAAAAAAUAAGCUUUUUAUAUCAAUGACUAUGCAAAUUAGAGUUAAUCCAUCGUCAUCCUAAAUGUGUAUUAAUUAAAAAGUUCUGUCAAGUGAGCUUCGGUCAACGACGAGGACAACUCAGCUAAGUUAGCCAGGACUUUUCUACACCGCCAGAUUACUUUUACAGCCCGGAGAUUAUACAGAUGCUGAUGUGUUUUGUUUUCAUAGCAUCAUAUGUGAGUGAAUGUCUUUGAUAGGGGACAUAGUAGUGCAUUUGAAUGAGCAUUUAAAUAUUUGUAAAUCAAAAUACACCUGAUGACAGUUAGAAUUUGAAGUAUUGAGUAUAUUUACUGUAUAAUACAGUAAUAUAUUCUGUAUAUGACCAUAUUAUGGUGAUCCUGGCGUCGUGAUGAUGGGGCCCUUGAAUAUUGUUGCCCAGGGUAUAACAAAGUGUUAAUCUGGCCCUGAUGGAAGUGAGUGGGUAGGGUACCGCCAAAUGUGUGCCUACCAUAAUUUAUCAAAAUAAUUGCUUUUUUGUAAAACAGAACCUCAUACAUUUUUUAAAAACAACAUGAGGGUGAGUAAAUGAAAUUAUUUUAAAUUUUGGGUGAACCUUUAAUUCGGUAUUUUUCUUACCUGUAGAAUGGCUUCAAGGGGAAGACAUCCAUACAACCGCCCCCAAGGAAUUAGAGUUCAGUGCAUCUCCACGAGAACAUCUCGCCGGGGCACUGCUUUUGAAGUGGCAGAUGGAAAAAUUAAAGUUUCAGCAGAAACCAUUACCACCAUGUUUGCACUUUGGGAUGGCAGUAGCAUGUAUACAAGCCCCCAAAGUGCAAACAAGUACGAGUUUCAGGAGCGCUGUCAUUACGUUUUGAAAAACCAUGCCAUCUCUUCCAUUUCUGGCCGAAAACAUCUGUUUGUAAAUACAAACACCAAAUUCUUCAAGGGGUCAUCCACCACAAUUUCUGAAGCGCUCCAAAAGCUCAGGUGAUGAAGCCCUGGUUCCACCCUCAAAGGUUUUCACUGGGACCGAACCAGAGAUGUUUUCAUCUGGAGAAUACGUAACCUUGACAGGGGUUAUUGAAAAGUUGCAUGUGUGAGAAUGGUUUCCGGAAACGUUCCUGUCCUUGACCUUACCCUCAAAUGUGGCAGUAAGAGCAUUAACAUGUCCUUGUGGCGGGACGAGGCUUUAGCCGAUCUUCAAAUAGAAACGGAUGUGACCAUCACACAUCUCAGACCUGCCAAAAAAGGAGAGGAGAAACUGAAUUCGUCGACAUAUACACAACUAUAAAGGUUCUUGAUGCCAAACCAGUUUCUGAAGAGAUCCAGGUCAUUGGUGUAUCUGAGGUGCAGGAUGGCCUCCAGUUGGUCGCGGAGGAUUUCCAGGAGUUUUUUCUCCCAUCAGAGGUUCACACAUCUGAAUGUGACACCUUGUCCGAAAUGGCUCCUUUUAAGUUGCAGAUCGAGCACGUGCACAACAUCAUCAGCAGAGUGGAGUUCCCCGCCUGAAUGAUUGUAAAUAGUUGAAUGAAUUAUUUUUUUAAAACAUCGUUAUACUUACAUUUUAUGAAAUGCUUU